rnacentral:rRNA from 1 species
AUUGAACGCUGGCGGCAGGCCUAACACAUGCAAGUCGAGCGGAGCGGCGGACGGGUGAGUAAUGCCUAGGAAUCUGCCUGGUAGUGGGGGAUAACGUCCGGAAACGGGCGCUAAUACCGCAUACUAUCAGAUGAGCCUAGGUCGGAUUGGCUAGUUGGUGGGGUAAAGGCCUACCAAGGCGACGCUCCGUAACUGGGCUGAGAGGGUGAUCAAUCACACUGGAACUUGGGAACGGGCCAGACUCCGACGGGAAGGAACAAGGGGGAAAUUUGGACAAUGGGCGGAAGGCUGGUCCAACCAAGCCGCGGGUGUGGAGGAAGGCUUCGGAUUUGAAAGCACUUUAAGUUGGGGGGCGUUACCAACAGAAUAAGCACCGGCUAACUUCGUGGCAGCAGCCGCGGUAAUAC